rnacentral:rRNA from 1 species
GAUCAUGGCUCAGGAUGAACGCUAGCUACAGGCUUAACACAUGCAAGUCGAGGGGAAACGACAUCGAAAGCUUGCUUUUGAUGGGCGUCGACCGGCGCACGGGUGAGUAACGCGUAUCCAACCUGCCUACCACUUGGGGAUAACCUUGCGAAAGUAAGACUAAUACCCAAUGACAUCCCACGAAGACAUCUGAAUGGGAAUUAAAGUAUUUAUCGGUGAUGGAGUGGGGAUGCGU